rnacentral:rRNA from 1 species
CUUCUCCGGAUGAGUUGCGAACGGGUGAGUAACGCGUAGGUAACCUGCCUGGUAGCGGGGGAUAACUAUUGGAAACGAUAGCUAAUACCGCAUAAGAGUAGAUGUUGCAUGACAUUUGCUUAAAAGGUGCAAUUGCAUCACUACCAGAUGGACCUGCGUUGUAUUAGCUAGUUGGUGGGGUAACGGCUCACCAAGGCGACGAUACAUAGCCGACCUGAGAGGGUGAUCGGCCACACUGGGACUGAGACACGGCCCAGACUCC